rnacentral:lncRNA from 1 species
ACCGUUAAUCUCGCAACCCUUUUUUUUUUAAUCUCGGGUCCGUUUUCCACUUCCGGCAAAACUCUCUAGAAGGCUUUUCUUUUCGCCAUUGUUUCAGAACCAGGCGUCCCUUAGCAACAGCGGGUUCCCUCCCGGAAAAACGUCCCGGGAAAACGGGAAAAACGCGAGUUAAUUAAAAAAAGUGUUCGAAUCGGGUUCCGUAAACCUCGCGCUUCAUUUUGAUCUAAUUUUCGAUAGUGUGCACCUGUUUUUUCAAAGGAAAAUCGCGAGUGUAGUGCCAUAUGAGGGAGUAGCAGAUCUGGUUGGCGUUAUAGUCUCUUCCCUGGGGGCUUGUCUCUAAGGGGGCAAAGUCCUCAGGACGUGGACAGAAGAGGACCUAAGAAGUAGACGAUAAGGCGGUGGAAUAUACCUUGAAAAGGUAUCUACUAGAGUUCGUUCAAGUAAGUUAAUUCAUUACUAAGCAUGACAGUUUGAAAAUCGCAAAAUUCUGUUGAAUCUACAUUCGGUGUCGCACCGUUGCGGUGCGUCACUGGAUUAACCCUUGACCCUCUCUCUUUAAAAGAUUUUCAAACUUCCAAGAGUCCCUCAGACUCAGAAAGAGAAAAGUCACUUUGACUUUUAAAGAAAAAAAAGGUAGAAACACGCAUGUACACUGGCCCUCCUUGUCGUUGUCCUUGAUGAGCAGCCUCCCCCGGGACACCCUGUAAAAGCCCUCCCCCUCACCUUCUCUUUCAGCUGUCCCUUCAUAAACACUCACAAACACACGGGGGUUAAAACGUGAGAAAAAUCCGGGUUGUUUUCUCGCGGUUUGCCCUCUAUAGGUUAAGCUUUUGUAUUGUUGCAUGUUGUACACACACAUUUCCAUGCUUAGGGGUGCCAAAACCCCCCCUAAGUCAUGCCGGGGGUGCUAAAUUUUCCUCCGGGGCGUCACCAAGAAGGUUUCUUUUGUUUUUUUUUGUCUCCAACCCCCUUCAGUCCCUUAGUUAUCAGCAUAAGUUUUUAUGGUGGUAAUGUAACACUGAAGGGCAUUCACGUCAAUUUUAAAUUAAUUAAUUUUCAAUAUAAUUAUCCCCUUUAGUCCCUUGGUAUUCAGCAUAAGGUUUUAUGGUGAUUAUUCAAUACUAAGGGGUGAUUUUCAUGCUUUUUGGUGACGUCAUUGAUGGGGGAAGCAGUGAUGUCUUGUAAGGAAACUGGAGUGCCAAAAAUCCUCCAUCGUUGCAGGGGGGUCCGGAGCCCUUCAGGUCGGACCCCGUUUGCGUUUGGUUGUUCGUAAGGGUUCAUACGCAGUCAUUUAUUAAUUAUUAGUCAUUUGUUUAAUUUAAAAGUAAAGGAAAGUUAUGUGGGAAAGCUCCAUCCAUCCAAACACACAUUUACUAAUCAUGUAAUUUCUUUCAGCUUUUUAUUGUCGUCGGAGACCCAAGGACAUGUACCUCUCUUUCAGGUUUUCUCUUUCAGGUCCACAGGUUCCAAUCGAGGAUCGAGGUUCCUUCAGUUCUGUCUGAGAGCCACUGAUUUGGCAAUAUCUUCCUUUCAAUCUCUUUUAUUCGUAGAACCAUCCAUUGCUGUACCUCUGGUACUUAUUUUGGGAACAUUGUGUGUGUUAUUGUCCUUGGAAAAGCUUUUUCCAUCAUUUUUCCACAUAGCGGAGUCUCCUCUGGAGCUCCAUCGUUGUCCACCAAUCCACUUCUUCACUCUUGUUGGUAACUCCCGCAUUUCCUCGUUUGUGGAGCGUGAUCCGCUGGAUCCGUCGCCAGCGUCGAUCUCCCACACUCACGAUCGGUUUUCCUGACGAUGGAGAUCCGUCGAAACCCGUUCGCCGAUCGACGUCGAUCUCCCCCUCCAAGAUCCGCUGAAAUCCGUCGAUCAGCGUCCGUGAUCUUCGUCGAUCUCGUUCGGACGCCGCCGUCGUCGCGAUGAAGAUCCGCCGCAAACGUCGUCCGGCGUCGAUCUUCGUUUCUUUUCGUGUUUAGCCGGUCGCCAUCGGGUGAGUUCGCGAAGUGUCAAGUGUGCGUCGGGUGUGUUCGGUUACGGUCGGGUCGCGGGCGUCGUUUGGUUCCGUCGGGUUUUUUCGGAUCUAUGGGAGUCUUGCUUUAUUGUAUUUUAUUUUAUACGGCGUGUCUAUAUAGUGCUCCCUUCCUCCCUUGUAGGUGUAUUUUUGAAGCAAAAACGUUCAUUUUUUUUUGCAUACGGGGGGUGAAAAAAACCACUUUUUUAAAUUAUUCUGACAUAUACAGGGUGUUCACAAGAGGCG